rnacentral:rRNA from 1 species
AGUCGAACGCGAAAGGGGCUUCGGCCCUGAGUAGAGUGGCGAACGGGUGAGUAACACGUGGGUGACCUACCUUCGAGUGGGGGAUAACGUCCCGAAAGGGACGCUAAUACCGCAUGACAUCCUGCCUUUGAAGAGGCGGAGAUCAAAGCUGGGGAUCGCAAGACCUGGCGCUUGGAGAGGGGCCCGCGUCCGAUUAGCUAGUUGGUGAGGUAACGGCUCACCAAGGCGACGAUUGGUAGCCGGCCUGAGAGGGCGGACGGCCACACUGGGACUGAGACACGGCCCAGACUCCUACGGGAGGCAGCAGUGGGGAAUUGUUCGCAAUGGGCGCAAGCCUGACGACGCAACGCCGCGUGGAGGAUGAAGGUCUUCGGAUUGUAAACUCCUGUUGCCCGGGACGAAAUGCUUCGACCUAAUACGUCGCGGCUUGACGGUACCGGGUGAGGAAGCCCCGGCUAACUCUGUGCCAGCAGCCGCGGUAAUACAGAGGGGGCAAGCGUUGUUCGGAAUUACUGGGCGUAAAGGGCGCGUAGGCGGCCUGCUAAGUCGGACGUGAAAUCCCCGGGCUCAACCCGGGAACUGCGUCCGAUACUGG